CUUGCUUCUCUUGAGAGCGGCGGACGGGUGAGUAAUGCCUAGGAAUCUGCCUGGUAGUGGGGGAUAACGUUCGGAAACGGACGCUAAUACCGCAUACGUCCUACGGGAGAAAGCAGGGGACCUUCGGGCCUUGCGCUAUCAGAUGAGCCUAGGUCGGAUUAGCUAGUUGGUGAGGUAAUGGCUCACCAAGGCGACGAUCCGUAACUGGUCUGAGAGGAUGAUCAGUCACACUGGAACUGAGACACGGUCCAGACUCCUACGGGAGGCAGCAGUGGGGAAUAUUGGACAAUGGGCGAAAGCCUGAUCCAGCCAUGCCGCGUGUGUGAAGAAGGUCUUCGGAUUGUAAAGCACUUUAAGUUGGGAGGAAGGGCAGUUACUUAAUACGUGAUUGUUUUGACGUUACCGACAGAAUAAGCACCGGCUAACUCUGUGCCAGCAGCCGCGGUAAUACAGAGGGUGCAAGCGUUAAUCGGAAUUACUGGGCGUAAAGCGCGCGUAGGUGGUUUGUUAAGUUGGAUGUGAAAUCCCCGGGCUC
rnacentral:rRNA from 1 species